rnacentral:rRNA from 1 species
UAAGGAAUAUUGCUCAAUGGGAGAAAUCCUGAAGCAGCAACGCCGCGUGGAGGAUGAAGGGUCUAUGACUUGUAAACUCCUGUAAAGAAGGAAAAAAUUCCCAUUAGAUGGGAGAUGAUGGUACUUCUGGAGUAAGCCCCGGCUAACUACGUGCCAGCAGCCGCGGUAAUACGUAGGGGGCAAGCGUUGUCCGGAUUUACUGGGUGUAAAGGGUGCUCAGGCGGAUUUGUAAGUCAGAGGUGAAAUCUUACAGCUUAACUGUGAAACUGCCUUUGAUACUGCAAGCCUAGAGUAUGGAAGAGAGUGAUGGAAUAUCUGGUGUAGCAGUGAAAUGCGUAGAUAUCAGAUAGAACACCAAUGGCGAAGGCAGUUACUUGGUCCAUUACUGACGCUAAAGCACGAAAGCGUGGGUAGCAAACA